rnacentral:tRNA from 1 species
GAGAGUAUAGCUCAAGUGGUAGAGCACAUGUUUAGCAUGCAUGAGGGUGUGCUUGAGGUCUUGGGUUCAAUCCUCAGUACCUCCU